rnacentral:rRNA from 1 species
GACGAACGCUGGCGGCGUGCUUAACACAUGCAAGUCGAACGGAAAGGCCCUGCUUUUGUGGGGUGCUCGAGUGGCGAACGGGUGAGUAACACGUGAGUAACCUGCCCUUGACUUUGGGAUAACUUCAGGAAACUGGGGCUAAUACCGGAUAGGAGCUCCUGUUGCAUGGUGGGGGUUGGAAAGUUUCGGCGGUUGGGGAUGGACUCGCGGCUUAUCAGCUUGUUGGUGGGGUAGUGGCUGACCAAGGCUUUGACGGGUAGCCGGCCUGAGAGGGUGACCGGCCACAAUGGGACUGAGAUACGGCCCAGACUCCUACGUGAGGCAGCAGUGGGGAAUAUUGCACAGUGGGCGGAAGCCUGAUGCAGCAACGCCGCGUGCGGGAUGGCGGCCUUCGGGUUGUAAACCGCUUUCGCCUGUGACGAAGCGUGAGUGACGGUAAUGGGUAAAGAAGCACCGGCUAACUACGUG